rnacentral:rRNA from 1 species
GAAUAUUGCACAAUGGGGGAAACCCUGAUGCAGCGACGCCGCGUGAGUGAAGAAGUUAUUCGUAAUGUAAAGUUCUUUUAUUUGCGAAGAAGAAAGUGACGGUAGCAUAUGAAUAAGCUCCGGCUAACUACGUGCCAGCAGCCGCGGUAAUACGUAGGGAGCGAGCGUUAUCCGGAAUUAUUGGGCGUAAAGGGUGCGUAGAUGGCACAAAAAGUCUUGUGUAAAAAUGCUAGGCUCAACCUAGUAGAGCAAAAGAUACUUUUGAGCUAGAGUAUGGCAGAGGCAAGUGGAACUACAUGUGUAGCGGUAAAAUGCGUAAAUAUAUGUAAGAACACCAGUGGCGAAGGCGGCUUGCUGGGCCGAUACUGACAUUGAGGCACGAAAGCGUGGGGAGCAAACAG